rnacentral:rRNA from 1 species
UACGAAGGGGGCUAGCGUUGCUCGGAAUCACUGGGCGUAAAGCGCACGUAGGCGGAUCUUUAAGUCAGGGGUGAAAUCCCAAGGCUCAACCUUGGAACUGCCUUUGAUACUGAUGGUCUCGAGUCCGAUAGAGGUGGGUAGAAUUCCUAGUGUAGAGGUGAAAUUCGUAGAUAUUCGGAGGAACACCAGUGGCGAAGGCGGCUCACUGGCUCGAUACUGACGCUGAGGUGCGAAAGCGUGGGGAGCAAACAGG